rnacentral:rRNA from 1 species
AUACGGAGGGAGCAAGCGUUAUUCGGAAUCACUGGGCGUAAAGGACGCGUAGGCGGGUUUGUAAGUCAGGUGUGAAAUCCUACAGCUCAACUGUAGAACUGCACUUGAAACUACAGACCUAGAGUAUGGAAGGGGCAGAUGGAAUUAGUGGUGUAGGGGUAAAAUCCGUAGAUAUCACUAGGAAUACCGAAAGCGAAGGCGAUCUGCUGGGACAUUACUGACGCUGAGACGUGAAAGCGUGGGGAGCAAACAGGAUUAGAAACCCUAGUAGUCC